AACCAUCAUACGGUGGUGUUGGAAUGCAGUGAGCAGCUGCUCCCUGUGCUGGAGGCCUGACUAUUGCAGACUUUAAGCUUUAGCUUUUCGGUAUUAUUUAAUUUACUUGGGAACAGCCAAGACAAGGGAAGCACUGGAUUCAGUGGUUUGCUUCCACAGAACCUAACCAAACAUGGGACGCCUUACUCUGAUGCACUGCUUCCUUCUCGUUUUCCUAAAAAGAUUCACCAGCCCUCUGCCAACAUGGGGGCAGCAAGGACAUGGACAGUGUCUUCAUCUCUGCAUUACAGCACCAGCAGAGUGCCAGUUAUUGCUGCACAAGUUAAUGAUGUCUUCUUGGUACCACAAGAGCAGUGGCUUGAGAAUGAGUUAACACUGAGAAAGCAGAAUCAAGGGAUGGCAAGUCAGGAGCUGAAUCUACUCUGGUACUGUGGAG